rnacentral:rRNA from 1 species
ACUACGGUGCUGAAGUAACAAAUGCCCUGCUUCCAGGAAAAGCCUCUAAGCAUCAGGUAACAUCAAAUCGUACCCCAAACCGACACAGGUGGUCAGGUAGAGAAUACCAAGGCGCUUGAGAGAACUCGGGUGAAGGAACUAGGCAAAAUGGUGCCGUAACUUCGGGAGAAGGCACGCUGGUGUGUAGGUGAAGUCCCUGCGGAUGGAGCUGAGACCAGUCGAAGAUACCAGCUGGCUGCAACUGUUUAUUAAAAACACAGCACUGUGCAAACACGAAAGUGGACGUAUACGGUGUGACGCCUGCCCGGUGCCGGAAGGUUAAUUGAUGGGGUUAUCCGUAAGGAGAAGCUCUUGAUCGAAGCCCCGGUAAACGGCGGCCGUAACUAUAACGGUCCUAAGGUAGCGAAAUUCCUUGUCGGGUAAGUUCCGACCUGCACGAAUGGCGUAAUGAUGGCCAGGCUGUCUCCACCCGAGACUCAGUGAAAUUGAACUCGCUGUGAAGAUGCAGUGUACCCGCGGCAAGACGGAAAGACCCCGUGAACCUUUACUAUAGCUUGACACUGAACAUUGAGCCUUGAUGUGUAGGAUAGGUGGGAGGCUUUGAAGCGUGGACGCCAGUCUGCGUGGAGCCAACCUUGAAAUACCACCCUUUAAUGUUUGAUGUUCUAACGUUGGCCCCUUACCGGGGUUGCGGACAGUGUCUGGUGGGUAGUUUGACUGGGGCGGUCUCCUCCCAAAGCGUAACGGAGGAGCACGAAGGUUAGCUAAUCCUGGUCGGACAUCAGGAGGUUAGUGCAAUGGCAUAAGCUAGCUUGACUGCGAGCGUGACGGCGCGAGCAGGUGCGAAAGCAGGUCAUAGUGAUCCGGUGGUUCUGAAUGGAAGGGCCAUCGCUCAACGGAUAAAAGGUACUCCGGGGAUAACAGGCUGAUACCGCCCAAGAGUUCAUAUCGACGGCGGUGUUUGGCACCUCGAUGUCGGCUCAUCACAUCCUGGGGCUGAAGUAGGUCCCAAGGGUAUGGCUGUUCGCCAUUUAAAGUGGUACGCGAGCUGGGUUUAGAACGUCGUGAGACAGUUCGGUCCCUAUCUGCCGUGGGCGCUGGAGAAUUGAGGGGGGCUGCUCCUAGUACGAGAGGACCGGAGUGGACGCAUCACUGGUGUUCGGGUUGUCAUGCCAAUGGCACUGCCCGGUAGCUAAAUGCGGAAGAGAUAAGUGCUGAAAGCAUCUAAGCACGAAACUUGCCCCGAGAUGAGUUCUCCCUGAGACUUUAAGUCUCCUGAAGGAACGUUAAAGACGAUGACGUUGAUAGGCCGGGUGUGUAAGCGCAGCGAUGCGUUGAGCUAACCGGUACUAAUGAACCGUGAGGCUUAACCUU